rnacentral:rRNA from 1 species
UGGGGAAUAUUGCACAAUGGGCGAAAGCCUGAUGCAGCGACGCCGCGUGAGGGAUGACGGCCUUCGGGUUGUAAACCUCUUUCAGUAGGGACGAAGCGCAAGUGACGGUACCUGCAGAAGAAGCACCGGCUAACUACGUGCCAGCAGCCGCGGUAAUACGUAGGGUGCGAGCGUUGUCCGGAAUUACUGGGCGUAAAGAGCUCGUAGGCGGUUUGUCACGUCGUCUGUGAAAUCCUAGGGCUUAACCCUGGACGUGCAGGCGAUACGGGCUGAUUUGAGUACUACAGGGGAGACUGGAAUCUCUGGUGUAGCGGUGGAAUGCACAGAUAUCAGGAAGAACACCGAUGGCGAAGGCAGGUCUCUGGGUAGUAACUGACGCUGAGGAGCGAAAGCAUGGGUAGCGAACAGG